rnacentral:rRNA from 1 species
UGCAGUCGAACGGUGAAGCCUUUCGGGGUGGAUCAGUGGCGAACGGGUGAGUAACACGUGGGCAAUCUGCCCUGCACUCUGGGACAAGCCCUGGAAACGGGGUCUAAUACCGGAUAUGACCUGCUCUCGCAUGGGGGUGGGUGGAAAGCUUCGGCGGUGCAGGAUGAGCCCGCGGCCUAUCAGCUUGUUGGUGGGGUGAUGGCCUACCAAGGCGACGACGGGUAGCCGGCCUGAGAGGGCGACCGGCCACACUGGGACUGAGACACGGCCCAGACUCCUACGGGAGGCAGCAGUGGGGAAUAUUGCACAAUGGGCGGAAGCCUGAUGCAGCGACGCCGCGUGAGGGAUGACGGCCUUCGGGUUGUAAACCUCUUUCAGCAGGGAAGAAGCGCAAGUGACGGUACCUGCAGAAGAAGCACCGGCUAACUACGUGCCAGCAGCCGCGGUAAUACGUAGGGUGCGAGCGUUGUCCGGAAUUAUUGGGCGUAAAGAGCUCGUAGGCGGCUUGUCGCGUCGGAUGUGAAAGCCCGGGGCUUAACCCCGGGUCUGCAUUCGAUACGGGCAGGCUAGAGUUCGGUAGGGGAGAUCGGAAUUCCUGGUGUAGCGGUGAAAUGCGCAGAUAUCAGGAGGAACACCGGUGGCGAAGGCGGAUCUCUGGGCCGAUACUGACGCUGAGGAGCGAAAGCGUGGGGAGCGAACAGGAUUAGAUACCCUGGUAGUCCACGCCGUAAACGUUGGGAACUAGGUGUGGGCGACAUUCCACGUCGUCCGUGCCGCAGCUAACGCAUUAAGUUCCCCGCCUGGGGAGUACGGCCGCAAGGCUAAAACUCAAAGGAAUUGACGGGGGCCC